rnacentral:rRNA from 1 species
UACGAAGGGGGCUAGCGUUGUUCGGAAUUACUGGGCGUAAAGCGUGCGCAGGCGGCUAUCCAAGUCAGUGGUGAAAGCCCGGAGCUCAACUCCGGAACUGCCAUUGAAACUGUUGGACUUGGGUACGAGAGAGGUGAGUGGAAUUCCCAGUGUAGAGGUGAAAUUCGUAGAUAUUGGGAAGAACACCGGUGGCGAAGGCGGCUCACUGGCUCGUAACUGACGCUCAGGCGCGACAGCGUGGGGAUCAAACAGG